rfam:TPA: Bos taurus chromosome X, whole genome shotgun sequence.
UCCCAGGUGGCUCAGAAGGUAAAGAAACUGCCUUCAAUGCAGGAACCCCAGGUUAAAUCCCUGGGUUGGGAA